AUUCACCUUAGUCGAAGUUCAGCUGUGUUAGGACUUGGGUGAUCAAAUGCUGGUGGCUGCUGAACAGCAAUGAUUUCUCACAGGACUUGGAUCUGUGUGGUUUGAGCAGUGAGGAGCUGCAGACAUAAGUUGAGGACUUCUGGAUGCACAAGAAGAGGAGACUCCACCAGCAGGCUAGCAAAUCUUGGCCAAGGAUGGCUAGAGAAAGUUGGCUGUGGCCAAAACAUCCUAUUUCUGUUCUGACUGGAUGGGUGCUGAUGUUGAUGCAGCUGGGGUGGUAAGGGCAGCUGUGGGAGGCAAUCCUGCAGCCUCAGCUAUGUGCUGUGUGAUUGGGAGGGCCAGACUUGGCAGCAGCACUCGUGUUCAUCAGCUGGGGCACAGAAGAACAGUUUCUGCCAGCCACAACACUAAUGAGUACGUUCAAAAGGGUCUUAUGUCCAUUCACAGAAGAGCCCCAAGACCCCAUUUGCUGCCUGUGAAGUCUCGGGGUCCCCCUGUGCCUGAGAGGAUGGACCUUUAUUUCUGCCAUUUCAAAGCAUUUCAUCUUUGACCGGUGAAACAACAUUUCCCAUGUACAUGGAGAAUUCUGUCCUCUCAAGCCAGCAGCAGUCUGUCUGAGGGGAAACCCAUGUUUGCUCCUCUCCCAUGGGUGCUUUCCCAGUGCCUGCCUCAAGCUACCUGUCCUCUCUUGGGAUCCACCCUGACCACACAAGCAGUUGUGGAGGUGCGUGGUGUGGAGCAGAAACUCCUGGUGGUGGUGGGGCCCUGGCCAGCUGAGGACAGGAUUUUGUGGUUUGCUCUGCCUGACAGUUUUCUCCACCUGUGAGUGUUCUGUGCCCUUUUCUCCAGUGGUUUGCUUGGGGUGGCUCCAGCUCCCAACCCUCUGGAUCUUUGCAAUGGGAUAUUGUGUAUUUUCCACAUUGAGGGCCAUUCUGGAGGUUCCCAUCAGCAAAGGGGGAAGUCCAAGCUUUCAGGCAGAGGAUAGGAACUGAGAUUAAGGGUUGUUAUGGGAAAAAUUUGGCUGCAGAACCUGUCUGGGAGGUGCAGCAUCAACCUGGUUGAAAACUGACAUCAACGGCCCCUGGAAGGAAUUUUUGGAAGCCUGCUUGUUCUCCGCAGGGUAAAGGCGCUCCUGGGCCAGGAGACUAUUUUUUAUUACAGGGAUGAGCAUUUCUUAUUCCUCUGGAGGAACCAAAAGGUGUGGGAAGUCCAGGGGCGUAAUCACUUGUGGGUAGGUAAGCCAGGGCCCUGGCAGGAUGAAGAACAGCCAGGACCUGUGAGAAGAUGGCCAUGCAGGUGACAGAGGAGCACCUCUAUCCCAUCUCAUGGUGAGGGGGGACCUGCUGCCACAGCAGGAUAUCAGGGAGAGGAGGAAACACCCUUCAGUGGGAAAGGGCACGUGUGUCCUUCUGAAUUACAACCCUGGAAAAGAGGAGAGAUAAAACAGGCAACGGAUUACUGGGCCUCAUGGAGAGCCAAGGGCAGCCAACCCUGGAGAGUCAGCUGCUGCCACAGCAUUCCAUGUGGGCACAGCCACUCUGCAGGAGGUACAGUUCAAAGGAAGAAAAGAGGGAUGGCUGUGAUCAGAAGCAUUUUUCCGUGCCUGAGCUGUAGCACACAGCUGACUUAGAUGGCUGGUCCAAGAAGACCCCCAAGAGGUCAAGAGGCAGCUUUGCCCACUGACACCACUUGCCCUCAGUACAGCAAAGCAGGGAAGUACAACACAUGGAAUUCAGAGCUGCAACUGCUGCUUGCAGGAAAACAUUACUGCAUAGAGGAGCCCGGCCCAAACCCUCCCCAGCAAUGUGACAAGGAAGUGCAGAAGGGGAUGUGGAGACACGCAAUCAAAAAGAAGCUGAAGACAGAAGCUGUCAGCUCACAAGGAGCUCACAGACAUUUUGGGAAAGCAGGCCAGCAGGUCCCACACUGCUACAUGGUGGGAUCGCAGCAGACCCGCUGGGAUGAGGUUUUGCCUCAUGGCUUGUAAGACAUUAAUGACAAGUUCCAUAAAAAAUGUAUUUUUCUUUUUUAAA